rnacentral:rRNA from 1 species
GAUGAACGCUGGCGGCGUGCUUAACACAUGCAAGUCGAACGGAAAGGCCCAAGCUUGCUUGGGUACUCGAGUGGCGAACGGGUGAGUAACACGUGGGUGAUCUGCCCUGCACUUCGGGAUAGGCCUGGGAAACUGGGUCUAAUACCGGAUAGGACGAUGGUUUGGAUGCCAUUGUGGAAAGUUUUUUCGGUGUGGGAUGAGCUCGCGGCCUAUCAGCUUGUUGGUGGGGUAAUGGCCUACCAAGGCGUCGACGGGUAGCCGGCCUGAGAGGGUGUACGGCCACAUUGGGACUGAGAUACGGCCCAGACUCCUACGGGAGGCAGCAGUGGGGAAUAUUGCACAAUGGGCGCAAGCCUGAUGCAGCGACGCCGCGUGGGGGAUGACGGCCUUCGGGUUGUAAACUCCUUUCGCUAGGGACGAAGCGUUUUUGUGACGGUACCUGGAGAAGAAGCACCGGCUAACUACGUG